rnacentral:rRNA from 1 species
AUUGAACGCUGGCGGCAUGCUUUACACAUGCAAGUCGAACGGUAACAGGCCUUCGGGUGCUGACGAGUGGCGAACGGGUGAGUAAUGCAUCGGAACGUACCCAGAGGUGGGGGAUAACGCAGCGAAAGCUGUGCUAAUACCGCAUGUGAUCUGAGGAUGAAAGCGGGGGACCGAGCAGCAAUGUUUGGCCUCGCGCCUUUGGAGCGGCCGAUGUCGGAUUAGCUAGUUGGUGGGGUAAAGGCCUACCAAGGCGACGAUCCGUAGCUGGUCUGAGAGGACGACCAGCCACACUGGGACUGAGACACGGCCCAGACUCCUACGGGAGGCAGCAGUGGGGAAUUUUGGACAAUGGGCGCAAGCCUGAUCCAGCAAUGCCGCGUGCGGGAAGAAGGCCUUCGGGUUGUAAACCGCUUUUGGCAGGAACGAAACGGUGUCCGCUAAUACCGGGCGCUAAUGAUGGUACCUGCAGAAUAAGCACCGGCUAACUACGUG